GACGAACGCUGGCGGCGUGCCUAAUACAUGCAAGUAGAACGCAGUUGCGAACGGGUGAGUAACGCGUAGGUAACUGCCUCAUAGCGGGGGAUAACUAUUGGAAACGAUAGCCAAUACCGCAUACUGUGAGAUGGACCUGCGUUGCAUUAGCUAGUUGGUGGGGUAAAGGCUCACCAAGGCGACGAUACAGAGCCGACCUGAGAGGGUGAUCCGGCACCAAGGGACUGGAACACGGGCCCAGCUCCUGCGGGAGGCAGCAGUAGGGGAUCUUCGGCCAUGGGGGGAAGUCUGACCGCGCAACGCCGCGUGAGUGAAGGAGGUUCUCGGAUCGUUAAGCUCUGUUGUUAGGGAAGCGGUAGCUAACCAGAAAGGGCCGGCUAACUCCGUGCCAGCAGCCGCGGUAAUAC
rnacentral:rRNA from 1 species